AGCCCGGUCGUUCAACGGUCAAGGACUCCGUUCUGAUAAGGCGGCAAUGAAGGUUCGAUUCCUUCCCGGGCUA
rnacentral:tRNA from 1 species